CCUGGUUGAUCCUGCCAGUAACAUAUGCUUGUCUCAAAGAUUAAGCCAUGCAGGUCUAAGUGCACACGGAAGGUACAGUGAAACUGCGAAUGGCUCAUUAAAUCAGUUAUGGUUCCUUUGAUCGCUCCACACGUUACUCGGAUAACUGUGGUAAUUCCAGGGCUAAUACAUGCAAACGAGCGCUGACCGGUCCUCUCUCGGGGGGGCCGGGAUGCGUGCAUUUAUCAGCCCCAAAACCCACCCGGGGGGGCCCGCGAGGGUUUCCCCCGGCCCUUUGGUGACUCUAGAUAACCUCGGGUCGAUCGCGCGCCCACCGCGGCGGCGACGUCUCAUUCGAAUGUCUGCCCUAUCAGCUGUCGAUGGUAGCAUAGGGGGCUACCAUGGUGACCACGGGUAACGGGGAAUCAGGGUUUCGAUUCCGGAGAGGGAGCCUGAGAAAUGGCUACCACAUCCAAGGAAGGCAGCAGGCGCGCAAAUUACCCAUUACCGACACGGUGAGGUAGUGACGAAAAAUAACGAUGCAGGUCUCUUUCGAGGCCCUGUAAUCGGAAUGAACGUAUCCUAAACACAUGGGUGAGGACCCAUUGGAGGGCAAGUCUGGUGCCAGCAGCCGCGGUAAUUCCAGCUCCAAUAGCGUAUAUUAAAUUUGCUGCAGUUAAAAAGCUCGUAGUUGGACUUCGGGAGUGGGCUGGCGGUCCGCCGCGAGGCGAGCUACCGCCUGUCCCAGACCCUGCCUCCCGGCGCCCCCCGGAUGCCCUUGGUUGGGUGUCCGGUCCUCAGGGGUCCGGAGCGUUUACUUUGAAAAAAUCAGAGUGUUCAAAGCGGGCACCAAACUCGCCUGAAUGCCUGAGCUAGGAAUAAUGGAAUAGGACUCCGGUUCUAUUUUGUGGGUUUCCUGAACCAGGGCCAUGAUUAAGAGGGACGGCCGGGGGCAUUCGUAUUGCGCCGCUAGAGGUGAAAUUCUUGGACCGGCGCAAGACGGACGAAAGCGAAAGCAUUUGCCAAGAAUGUUUUCAUUAAUCAAGAACGAAAGUCGGAGGUUCGAAGACGAUCAGAUACCGUCGUAGUUCCGGACCGUAAACUAUGCCGACCCGCGAUCCGGCGGCGUUAUUCCCAUGACCCGCCGGGCAGCGUGCGGGGAAACCAGAGUCUUUGGGUUCCGGGGGGAGUAUGGUUGCAAAACUGAAACUUAAAGGAAUUGACGGAAGGGCACCACCAGGAGUGGAGCCUGCGGCUUAAUUUGACUCAACACGGGGAACCUCACCCGGCCCGGACACGGAAAGGAUUGACAGACUGAUGGCUCUUUCUCGAUUCUGUGGGUGGUGGUGCAUGGCCGUUCUUAGUUGGUGGAGUGAUUUGUCUGGUUAAUUCCGAUAACGAACGAGAUUCCUUCGUGCUAAAUAGUUACGCGGCCCCCCGCGGUCGCGGUUAACUUCUUAGAGGGACCAGUGGCGUAUAGCCACGCGAGAUGGAGCAAUAACAGGUCUGUGAUGCCCUUAGAUGUCCGGGGCUGCACGCGCGCCACAAUGGCCGGGCCAGCGUGUGCCUACCCUACGCCGAGAGGCGCGGGUAAUCCGCUUAAACCCGUUCGUGACGGGGAUUGGGGAUUGCAAUUAUUCCCCAUGAACGAGGAAUUCCCAGUAAGUGCGGGUCAUCAGCUCGCGCUGAUUAAGUCCCUGCCCUUUGUACACACCGCCCGUCGCUACUACCGAUUGGAUGGUUAUGUGAGGUCCUCGGAUCGGCCACGCCGGGGCUCCUUCGCGGGGCCUUGGUGCUGUGCUGAAAAGUCGAUCGAACUUGAUCAUCUAGAGGAAGUAAAAGUCGUAACAAGGUUUCCGUAGGUGAACCUGCGGAAG
rnacentral:rRNA from 1 species